rnacentral:tRNA from 1 species
GUGUUGGAGCUCAGUGGUAGAGCGCAUGCCUAGCAUGCAUGAGGCACUGGGUUUGAUUCUCAGUACCACA